UCUUGUCCUGGUGCUCCUCUGAGACAAGGUCUUUACGGGGGAUCUGUAUCUGGGGCUCUAGUUGUCCUGGUUGUCCUGGUCUCAGUAUUACUACAGGUAAUACUGAGCAUUUACAUACAGCAGAAACAGCAUCUUUAUUUCAGGGUGAAUAUGAUUUAGCCAUUUAGGAUAUUUUUUCUUGUUUGACAUUGUUGCGGAACCACACUGCUAUCAACCAAUCAGAUUUAGGGUGAUGGUUAAGUUUAGGAUUAGGGCUGGGGUUGAGGACUAAACAAAAGUAUUAUUAAACUAAUAUUUCCUUCUUAUUUUACAUUCAAGAUAAAGCAGCUUUUCAAGUGAAUAUGGACAUCAAAACAAUCACAGCAUUUCUGAUGGGAAUGUCAACUUCAGCAGUCAUCUUCUCUGUGGUUUUGUGCUGUCAAGGGUCCUGGAAAAGGGACAAGACAUAUGAAGUGGUGGCCACGAACACAUACACUGAAGUUGUACUGGAAUAUUUUCAAGGAAAAAAUUUAAGGAGAUACUGUAUGAAAGAGUGAGAUUAAUCAUUUGGAUUAAAUGAUUUGAAUUUAUAACUUAUAGUUUUUUUUUUAUUAUCAUGUUGGAUAUAGAUUUUUCUGAAAUUGUAAAAUAUAAUAUAUUAAGUCACUUCUUCACAAAUUUAGAAACUUAAUUCUGUCUGAGUUUAUCUUUGUUAUUGCUGAAUGAUUUCUCCUUGUUCAGAGAUAUUUUCUUUGACAAAUAAAACAGUGUUAAUUAA